rnacentral:rRNA from 14 species
GACGUCAAGUCCUCAUGGCCCUUACACGCUGGGCUACACACGUGCUACAAUGGUAGUGACAAUGGGUUAAUCCCAAAAAGCCAUCUCAGUUCGGAUUGGGGUCUGCAACUCGACCCCAUGAAGUCGGAAUCGCUAGUAAUCGCGGAUCAGAAUGUCGCGGUGAAUACGUUCCCGGGCCUUGUACACACCGCCCGUCACACCAUGAGAGUUGGUUUUAUCUUAAGUCAGUGCGCUAACCUUCGGGAGGCAGCUGCCCACGGUACGGCCAGCGAUUGGGGUGAAGUCGUAACAAGGUAGCCGUAGGGGAACCUGCGGCUGGAUCACCUCCUU